rnacentral:rRNA from 1 species
UACAGAGGUCCCAAGCGUUGUUCGGAUUCACUGGGCGUAAAGGGUGCGUAGGCGGUCGGGUAAGUCUGAUGUGAAAUCUCACAGCUUAACUGUGAAACUGCAUUGGAUACUAUUCGGCUAGAGAGUUGGAGGGGGGACUGGAAUUCUUGGUGUAGCAGUGAAAUGCGCAGAUAUCAGGAGGAACACCGGUGGCGAAGGCGGUUCUCUGGGCAUUACCUGACGCUGAGGAGCGAAAGCGUGGGGAGCAAACAGG